GUCUAUAUGUAGUUAAUAUAAAGUCUGGCCUGCCCACUGAAUGUUUAAAUGGCCGCGGUAAUUUGACCGUGCGAAGGUAGCAUAAUCAAUAGUCUUUUAAUUGGGGGCUGGAAUGAAUGGUCGUACAAGAAGUAGUCUGUCUUUUUUAUAAUAAUUGAAUUUAACUUUUAAGUGAGAAGGCUUAAAUUUCUUAGGGGGACGAUAAGACCCUAUAAAACUUUACAUGGGUUAGAUGAUUUUUAAAUUUAAGUUUAAUAAGAAUUAUUUUAAUCUUGUUACGUUGGGGCGACGAAAAUAUAAAUGUAACUGUUUAUUAAUAAAAAUAAAAUUAUUUAGUAUAAGUUGGUCCUUUAUUAUGGAUUAUAAGAAUAAGUUACUUUAGGGAUAACAGCGUAAUUUUUUCUGAGAGUUCUUAUCGAUGAAAGUAGUUGCGACCUCGAUGUUGAAUUAAAGUUUCAUCAAGGUGUAGAAGCUUUGACUGUAGGUCUGUUCGACCUUUAAAACUUUACAUGAUUUGAGUUCAAACCGGUGUGAG
rnacentral:rRNA from 1 species